rnacentral:rRNA from 1 species
GACGAACGCUGGCGGCGUGCUUAGCACAUGCAAGUCGAACGGUGAAGCGCCUUCCUUUUUGGUGGGUGUGGAUGAGUGGCGAACGGGUGAGUAACACGUGAGUAACCUGCCCCCUUCUUCUGGAUAACCGCAUGAAAGUGUGGCUAAUACGGGAUAUUCUGGGUCUGUCGCAUGAUGGGUCUGGGAAAGAUAUUGUUUCGGUGGGGGAUGGGCUCGCGGCCUAUCAGCUUGUUGGUGGGGUGAUGGCCUACCAAGGCGGUGACGGGUAGCCGGCCUGAGAGGGUGGACGGUCACACUGGGACUGAGACACGGGCCAGACUCCUACGGGAGGCAGCAGUGGGGAAUAUUGCACAAUGGGCGAAAGCCUGAUGCAGCGACGCCGCGUGAGGGAUGGAGGCCUUCGGGUUGUGAACCUCUUUCGCCAGUGAAGCAGGCCUGCCUCGUUUGUGGGUGGGUUGACAGUAGCUGGAUAAGAAGCGCCGGCUAACUACGUG